GAUGAACGCUGGCGGCGUGCCUAAUACAUGCAAGUCGAGCGAACGGACGAGAAGCUUGCUUCUCUGAUGUUAUCGGCGGACGGGUGAGUAACACGUGGAUAACCUACCUAUAAGACUGGGAUAACUUCGGGAAACCGGAGCUAAUACCGGAUAAUAUUUUGAACCGCAUGGUUCAAAAGUGAAAGACGGUCUUGCUGUCACUUAUAGAUGGAUCCGCGCUGCAUUAGCUAGUUGGUAAGGUAACGACUUACCAAGGCAACGAUGCAUAGCCGACCUGAGAGGGUGAGCGGCCACACUGGAACUGAGACACGGUCCAGACUCCUACGGGAGGCAGCAGUAGGGAAUCUUCCGCAAUGGGCGAAAGCCUGACGGAGCAACGCCGCGUGAGUGAUGAAGGUCUUCGGAUCGUAAAACUCUGUUAUUAGGGAAGAACAUAUGUGUAAGUAACUGUGCACAUCUUGACGGUACCUAAUCAGAAAGCCACGGCUAACUACGUG
rnacentral:rRNA from 1 species